UACGUAGGGGGCAAGCGUUGUCCGGAAUUAUUGGGCGUAAAGAGCGUGUAGGCGGUCCGGUAAGUCGGCUGUGAAAGUCCAGGGCUCAACCCUGGGAUGCCGGUCGAUACUGCCGGACUAGAGUUCGGAAGAGGCGAGUGGAAUACCCGGUGUAGCGGUGAAAUGCGCAGAUAUCGGGAGGAACACCUAUGGCGAAGGCAGCUCGCUGGGACGUUACUGACGCUGAGACGCGAAAGCGUGGGGAGCAAACAGG
rnacentral:rRNA from 1 species